GACGAACGCUGGCGGCGUGCUUAACACAUGCAAGUCGAACGGUAAGGCCCUUCGGGGUACACGAGUGGCGAACGGGUGAGUAACACGUGGGUGAUCUGCCCUGCACUUCGGGAUAAGCCUGGGAAACUGGGUCUAAUACCGGAUAGGACCACUGCCUGCAUGGGUGGUGGUGGAAAGCUUUUGCGGUGUGGGAUGGGCCCGCGGCCCAUCAGCUUGUUGGUGGGGUGAUGGCCUACCAAGGCGACGACGGGUAGCCGGCCUGAGAGGGUGACCGGCCACACUGGGACUGAGAUACGGCCCAGACUCCUACGGGAGGCAGCAGUGGGGAAUAUUGCACAAUGGGCGCAAGCCCGAUGCAGCGACGCCGCGUGAGGGAUGACGGCCUUCGGGUUGUAAACCUCUUUCAGCACCGACGAAGCGCAAGUGACGGUAGGUGCAGAAGAAGGACCGGCCAACUACGUGCCAGCCGCCGCAGUAA
rnacentral:rRNA from 1 species